GAUGAACGCUGGCGGCGUGCCUAAUACAUGCAAGUCGAGCGAACGGACGAGAAGCUUGCUUCUCUGAUGUUAGCGGCGGACGGGUGAGUAACACGUGGAUAACCUACCUAUAAGACUGGGAUAACUUCGGGAAACCGGAGCUAAUACCGGAUAAUAUUUUGAACCGCAUGGUUCAAAAGUGAAAGACGGUCUUGAUGUCACUUAUAGAUGGAUCCGCGCUGCAUUAGCUAGUUGGUAAGGUAACGGCUUACCAAGGCAACGAUGCAUAGCCGACCUGAGAGGGUGGUCGGCCACACUGGAACUGAGACACGGUCCAGACUCCUACGGGAGGCAGCAGUAGGGAAUCUUCCGCAAUGGGCGAAAGCCUGACGGAGCAACGCCGCGUGAGUGAUGAAGGUCUUCGGAUCGUAAAACUCUGUUAUUAGGGAAGAACAUAUGUGUAAGUAACUGUGCACAUCUUGACGUUACCUAAUCAGAAAGCCACGGCUAACUACGUG
rnacentral:rRNA from 1 species